rnacentral:rRNA from 1 species
GUUGGCUCAGAAGCAGCCACUCAUUCAAAGAGUGCGUAAUAGCUCACUGGUCGAGCGUCUUUGCGCGGAGAAUUUAACGGGGCUAAACCUGACACCGAAGCUUAGGCAAUACAGUAAUGUAUUGGGUAGGGGAGCGUUGUAUACGCGGUGAAACAGUAGCGCAAGCGGCUGUGGAGUGUAUAGAAGUGAGAAUGCCGGAAUGAGUAGCGCGAAUGCAGUGAGAAUCUGCAUGGCCGAAAGCCUCAGGUUUCUGGAGGAAGGUUCGUCCGCUCCAGGUCAGUCGGGAGCUAAGGUGAGGCCUAACGGCGUAGCCGAUGCACAGACGGUAGAGAUUCCGUCACCACCAAAAGAGUUAAGCACAGGGACACAUAUGAAGUCUCAGAGCCGGGUGUUGGUUCCGGUAGAGAUCGAGGGAAGUUAGUACCGAAGUCUGAGAUGGAAGAUGGCGAGAAAAGCUGUGUGAAUUUCUGCGGUGCCCGUACCGCAAACCGACACAGGUAGGUAGGAAGAAGAUUCUAAGGCCAACGGGAGAAGGGUUGUUAAGGAACUCGGCAAAUUGACCCCGUAACUUCGGGAGAAGGGGUGCUCCAGAGAUGGAGCCGCAGAGAAUCGGCCCAAGCAACUGUUUACCAAAAACACAGGUUUGUGCUAAAUCGAAAGAUGACGUAUACGAGCUGACGCCUGCCCGGUGCUGGAAGGUUAAGAGGAGAUGUGCAAGCAUUGAAUCGAAGCCCCAGUGAACGGCGGCCGUAACUAUAACGGUCCUAAGGUAGCGAAAUUCCUUGUCAGGUAAGUUCUGACCCGCAUGAAAGGCGUAAUGAUUUGGGCACUGUCUCAACAGCCCGCCCGGCGAAAUUGUAGUACCGGUGAAGAUGCCGGUUACCCGCGACAAGACGGAAAGACCCCAUGGAGCUUUACUGUAGCCUAAUAUUGGGUUUCGAUGUUGCAUGCACAGGAUAGAUGGGACACUGGGAAGCAGGUGCUUUGGCGCUUGUGGAGUGGCCGUUGGGAUACCAUCCUUGCGAUAUUGGAAUUCUAACCUGCGCCUUUGAAUCAAGGCGGGGGACAUUGUUAGGUGGGCAGUUUGACUGGGGCGGUCGCCUCCUAAAGAGUAACGGAGGCGUUCAAAGGUUCGCUCAGCUUGAACGGAAAUCAAGCAAAAGAGUGCAAACGCAGAAGCGAGCCUAACUGCGAGACUGACGGGUCGAGCAGUAACGAAAGUUGGAGUUAGUGAUCCGGUGGUAUGUGAGUGGAAAUGCCAUCGCUCAACGGAUAAAAGUUACCCUGGGGAUAACAGGCUGAUCUCCCCCAAGAGUCCACAUCGACGGGGAGGUU